UUGAGAGAAUUAUUAAUUGAAUUUAGCAAACCACUACUUCCUGUGGCAAGAGCCGGCAUAUUAUUUGCAGAAAUAUUGCAGCUUCUCUGCAAACAAAUGAGCCAAAAGGAAGUGGAGGCCUUAUGGAGGGACUCUAAACUGAGCUGGGCUGAUUUUCUUCCUGAAACCGUGGAUGGGAACAACUUCAUUACUGAGCAGCCCUGAUGAAGUCUGAUGACCUGAAGAGGGUGGAGCUGAGACUUCAGACAGCAGACGGAC